GCGCAGCAGUCGCGAAACCUCCGCAAUACACGAAAGUGUGACGGGGCCAUCCCGAGUGCCGUCCGCUGAGGACGGCUUUUCCCCAGUGUACACAGCUGGGGGAAUAAGGAGAGGGCAAGCCUGGUGUCAGCCGCCGCGGUAAUACCAGCUCUCCGAGUGGUGGGGACGCUUAUUGGGCCUAAAGCAUCCGUAGCCGGCUGGGCAAGUCCUCCGUUAAAUCCAACGAUUCAAUCGUUGGGCUGCGGGGGAUACUGUCCAGCUUGGGGGCGGGAGAGGCCGACGGUAUUCCCGGGGUAGGGGUGAAAUCCUAUAAUCCCGGGAGGACCACCAGUGGCGAAGGCUGUCGGCUAGAACGCGCCCGACGGUGAGGGAUGAAAGCUGGGGGAGCGAACCGGAUUAGAUA
rnacentral:rRNA from 1 species